GCGUGUUCUUUGCUGUUUUUUGUAGGUGCUGGUUGACGACGAUGGCAGAGUAGUUGGUGGUGGCAGGCUAGGGUGUGGUGGCGGCUAGGUAGGGUGCGGCGCUAGGUUUUUUAUUCUAAAAAUAGUUUAGGGUUUGGGUUUUUUUGGGCUUUUUAGGUAGUGUAUUGGGCCUGACAUGUAAUUGGACUUUGGGACUGUUAAUUUUUAUUUUUAUUUUUGGUUGUUGUUUAGGGCUCGGACAAAAUUGGGCCCUUACAAUGUGAAUUGAUAAUGUGUUAGACUAUGAUAUGUGAACCAUGUAUAUAUGUUUGAAUCUUUGAAUACCCUAUUACGAUCUUGGAUGGAGUCGGGUAUAGUUAGCAUGUCAUAAGAUUAGUGUAUAGAAUUUUAUUACGAUUUAUACCGAUGAGGCGUGGAGUGCA
rnacentral:lncRNA from 1 species